UACGUAGGGUGCGAGCGUUAAUCGGAAUUACUGGGCGUAAAGCGUGCGCAGGCGGUUCGUUGUGUCGGCGGUGAAAGCCCCGGGCUUAACCUGGGAAUGGCCGUUGAAACUGGCGAACUGGAGUGUGGCAGAGGGGGGUGGAAUUCCGCGUGUAGCAGUGAAAUGCGUAGAGAUGCGGAGGAACACCGAUGGCGAAGGCAGCCCCCUGGGCUAGCACUGACGCUCAGGCACGAAAGCGUGGGGAGCAAACAGG
rnacentral:rRNA from 1 species